rnacentral:lncRNA from 10 species
UUGUUGGUUUUCACAUCUUUCAACUUCUGUGUCCUGGGCUUCUGGGCGACAGUCAUCACACAUCGCUGCUGUGAGAGCAGAGACAGGGUUUCACCGUGUUAGCCAGGACGGUCUCGAUCUUCUGACCUCGUGAUCCGCCCGCCUCGGCCUCCCAAAGUGCUGGGAUUACAGACGUGAGCCACCACGCCAGGCCUAAUCUGUGCUUUUAAAAUGCUGUAUAAUGUUUCAGUAUAUGAAUAUACCACAGUUUUUAAAAAUCCAUUCAACUAUUGAUAACAUUUGGAGUCUUUCCAGUUUUAUGCUAUUAAAACAAUGUUGCUGCAAACAUUCUUAUGCAUGUUCCUGAUGUACUACAUAUGUGCACAUUUUUCUGGGAUAUGAGUUAGAUUGUUGGGGCAUAGUUGUCUAUUCUUGGGUAACAAAUCACUCUGGAAGUAAAUGGAUUAAAACAAC